CGGAAAAGGGUUUCCGCUGGGAUGUAGCCGCAGGGCUGAACCGUAAA
rnacentral:ncRNA from 1 species